AACGAACGCUGGCGGCAUGCCUAACACAUGCAAGUCGAACGAAACCUUCGGGUCUAUUUGCGCACGUGUGCGUAACGCGUGGGAACCUGCCCUUAAGUUCGCAGUAACUCCCCGAGAGGUGUGCUAAUACCGCUUAAUCUCUUCCGACCAAAGAUUUAUCGCCUUUGGGUGGGCGCUCGUUGGAUUAGCUGGUUGGUAGGGUAAAAGCCUACCAAGGCCACGAUCCAUAGCUGGUCUGAGAGGAGGAUCAGCCACACUGGGACUGAGACACGGCCCAGAAUGGUACGCGAGGGAGCAGUGGGGAACAUUGGACACGGGGCGAAAGUCUGACACAGCCAUGCGGGGUGAGUGAUGAAGGCCGUAGGGUAGUAAAGCUCUUUUACCCGGGACGAUAAUGACAGUAACGGGAGAAUAAGCUCCGGCUAACUACGUG
rnacentral:rRNA from 1 species